rnacentral:rRNA from 1 species
CCUACGGGAGGCAGCAGUGAGGAAUAUUGGUCAAUGGACGCAAGUCUGAACCAGCCAUGCCGCGUGCAGGAUGACGGCCCUAUGAGUUGUAAACUGCUUUUGUACGAGGGUAAACGCAUAUACGCGUAUCUGUCUGAAAGUAACGUACGAAUAAGGAUCGGCAUACUUCGUGCCAGGCAGCGCGGUAAUUCGGAGGAUUCAAGCGUUAACCGGAUUUAUUUGGGUUAAAGGGUUCGGUGGGGGUAGUAUAAGGUACAGGGGAAAUCCGGAGGCUCAACUUCGGAAUUGCCUCUGAUACUGAUCGGCUAGAGAGUAGUUGCGGUAGGCGGAAUGUAUGGUGUAGCGGUGAAAUGCAUAGAUAUCACGCAGAACUCCGAUUGCGAAGGCAGCGUACCGGCGCCCAACUGACGCUGAAGCACGAAGGCGUGGGUAUCGAACAGGAUUAGAUACCCGUGUAGUC